UGGGCAGUAGCUCAGUAGUAGAGCUCCCGCUCCGUAUGUGGGAAGAUCUGGGUUCGAUUCCCGGUUACUUAC
rfam:Toxocara canis scaffold1331, whole genome shotgun sequence.